GACGAAGGUGGCGACCGUUGUUCGGAAUCACUGGGCAUAAAGCGCACGUAGGCGGUGCAGAAAGUCGGGUGUGAAAGCCCUCGGCCCAAUCGAGGAAUUGCGCCCGAAACUACUGUGCUUGAGGGCGGGAGGGGAGCUGUGGAAUUCCUGGUGGAGCGGUGAAAUGCGUUGAUAUCAGGAGGAACACCGGUGGCGAAGGCGAUGCUCUGGUCCGCUUCUGACGCUGAGGUGCGAAAGCCAGGGGAGCAAAC
rnacentral:rRNA from 1 species